rnacentral:ncRNA from 1 species
CAGAAAAAGGCACAGCCGGUGAAAGCCGGUGUCGCAAAGCCAUGGGUCUACCCGGAGUAAUUACUCCGUAGGACAGCCGGUUGCCGAA